rnacentral:rRNA from 1 species
CGUGUAGGCGGUCUGAUUAGUCUGAUGUGAAAGCCCUGGGCUCAACCCAGGAAGUGCAUUGGAUACUGUCAGACUUGAAUACGGGAGAGGGUAGUGGAAUUCCUAGUGUAGGAGUGAAAUCCGUAGAUAUUAGGAGGAACACCGGUGGCGAAGGCGGCUACCUGGACCGAUAUCGACGCUGAGACGCGAAAGCGUGGGUAGCAAACA